UAUUUCCUCUCCUCCGUUCAGCGGAUGUUGAGCGCUGACGAUUGAACCGCUUUUACUUUUAUUUAUUUUACUUUGAUUAUUAUUUAUUGUUUUUGUUUUUUUAAUUUAUAUUUAUUAUUACUAUUAUUACUUUUACGUUUUUAUCGUUUUUGCGGAAUUGGGAAUUGCGGAUUGGAUUUAGGGAAGGGGUCGAUUUUUUUGGGAGGAGGCCAGGGGGGCCUAAUUUUAAAAGUGUCGUCUGCUUUCGACUUUCGUUCAGUUGAAAAUUUCGAAAAAGUUAAGAGACAAAGUUCAAGAUUUAUAUUCUUAUAGAUUUAUUUGUUUUUGAUAACCGUCAUACUCCAUGCUGUAUAGCGGAUUUGAGGCCAGAGCUAGCUAUCAUAACUACACAAUUUGCAAGUUGUUCUUGUGCAGGUGUUACCCUGUCGUCAGCAACAUUCUCAGGAUCAUCACUUGGAUAAAAAGCAUCCCAUCGCAUUGGAAAAACUACUGCUAUAAAUCGAGUUACGAAUCUCUCUUUCACCCCUUUCUUUAAAUGUCUUUGUGAUGUGAAUGUGGGUGUAUUCACGAGGACACCCUUUUUACCCUAUCCCGUCUGGUGGU